rnacentral:rRNA from 1 species
UACGUAGGGGGCAAGCGUUGUCCGGAUUAUUGGGCGUAAAGAGCGUGUAGGCGGCUUUACAGGUCCGUUGUGAAACUCGAGGCUCAACCUCGAGACGCCGGUGGAAACCGUAAGGCUAGAGUCCGGAAGAGGAGAGUGGAAUUCCUGGUGUAGCGGUGAAAUGCGCAGAUAUCAGGAGGAACACCGGUGGCGAAGGCGGUUCUCUGGGCAUGAUCUGACGCUGAGGAGCGAAGUGUGGGAGCGAACA